rnacentral:tRNA from 1 species
UCGAAGGCACUUCAGUAAGAAGGUGGGGCUUGCAAACACCGGAUAGUUUGAUCACGAUUCAACGAU